ACUUCAGCCGGGCUCAGGAAUCUGAAAUCAUGGCUCACCCACAUAUGCUUUGAGACAUGCUUUAGAUUUUUUUUUCUUGAAGCCCUGCAACUUCUCUAAAAAUUGAAUGUUUUGUAGAACAGACCUAUGGCCAAUGGUGGCAGAGUCUACAUAGAACUAUGCUUCGUGGUAUUCUGGGAAAAACCUUUCGACUUAUUGGCUAUACUAUUCAGUACGACUGUAUAGCUCAUUGUGCUUUUGAAUACAUUGGUGGUGUUGUUAUGUGUUCUGGACCAUCAGUGGAGCCUACAAUUAAAAAUUCAGAUACUGUCUUUGCAGAAAAUCUUAGUCGACAUUUCUAUAGUAUCCAAAGGUGCCAACAGGUCAUGUUUGGUUAGAAGGUGACAAUCUACAGAAUUCUACAGAUUCGAGGUACUAUGGACCUAUUCCAUAUGGACUAAUAAGAGGACGGAUCUCCUUUAAGAUUUGGCCUCUCAAUGAUUUUGGAUUUCUACGUGACAGCCCUAAUGGACACAGAUUUUCUGGUGAUUAGCAAAAAUUUAUUCUUCUGACUUGAUUAUUGUCCCCUGUUCAGGUGAAUUUAUUACUGCCAUUGAAACCAUGUAUUUACCAAUAAACUUAUGCUAUUCAAAA